rnacentral:rRNA from 1 species
ACGCUGGCGGCGUGCCUAAUACAUGCAAGUCGAACGCACAGCGAAAGGUGCUUGCACCUUUCAAGUGAGUGGCGAACGGGUGAGUAACACGUGGACAACCUGCCUCAAGGCUGGGGAUAACAUUUGGAAACAGAUGCUAAUACCGAAUGAAACUUAGUGUCGCAUGAUACGAAGUUAAAAGGCGCUUUGGCGUCACCUAGAGAUGGAUCCGCGGUGCAUUAGUUAGUUGGUGGGGUAAAGGCCUACCAAGACAAUGAUGCAUAGCCGAGUUGAGAGACUGAUCGGCCACAUUGGGACUGAGACACGGCCCAAACUCCUACGGGAGGCUGCAGUAGGGAAUCUUCCACAAUGGGCGAAAGCCUGAUGGAGCAACGCCGCGUGUGUGAUGAAGGCUUUCGGGUCGUAAAGCACUGUUGUAUGGGAAGAACAGCUAGAAUAGGGAAUGAUUUUAGUUUGACGGUACCAUACCAGAAAGGGACGGCUAAAUACGUGCCAGCAGCCGCGGUAAUACGUAUGUCCCGAGCGUUAUCCGGAUUUAUUGGGCGUAAAGCGAGCGCAGACGGUUGAUUAAGUCUGAUGUGAAAGCCCGGAGCUCAACUCCGGAAUGGCAUUGGAAACUGGUUAACUUGAGUGCAGUAGAGGUAAGUGGAACUCCAUGUGUAGCGGUGGAAUGCGUAGAUAUAUGGAAGAACACCAGUGGCGAAGGCGGCUUACUGGACUGUAACUGACGUUGAGGCUCGAAAGUGUGGGUAGCAAACAGGAUUAGAUACCCUGGUAGUCCACACCGUAAACGAUGAACACUAGGUGUUAGGAGGUUUCCGCCUCUUAGUGCCGAAGCUAACGCAUUAAGUGUUCCGCCUGGGGAGUACGACCGCAAGGUUGAAACUCAAAGGAAUUGACGGGGACCCGCACAAGCGGUGGAGCAUGUGGUUUAAUUCGAAGCAACGCGAAGAACCUUACCAGGUCUUGACAUCCUUUGAAGCUUUUAGAGAUAGAAGUGUUCUCUUCGGAGACAAAGUGACAGGUGGUGCAUGGUCGUCGUCAGCUCGUGUCGUGAGAUGUUGGGUUAAGUCCCGCAACGAGCGCAACCCUUAUUGUUAGUUGCCAGCAUUCAGAUGGGCACUCUAGCGAGACUGCCGGUGACAAACCGGAGGAAGGCGGGGACGACGUCAGAUCAUCAUGCCCCUUAUGACCUGGGCUACACACGUGCUACAAUGGCGUAUACAACGAGUUGCCAACCCGCGAGGGUGAGCUAAUCUCUUAAAGUACGUCUCAGUUCGGAUUGUAGUCUGCAACUCGACUACAUGAAGUCGGAAUCGCUAGUAAUCGCGGAUCAGCACGCCGCGGUGAAUACGUUCCCGGGUCUUGUACACACCGCCCGUCACACCAUGGGAGUUUGUAAUGCCCAAAGCCGGUGGCCUAACCUUUUAGGAAGGAGCCGUCUAAGGCAGGACAGAUGACUGGG